ACUCCUACGGGAGGCAGCAGUGGGGAAUAUUGGACAAUGGGCGCAAGCCUGAUCCAGCAAUGCCGCGUGUGUGAAGAAGGCCUGCGGGUUGUAAAGCACUUUCAGUAGUGAGGAAAAGCAGCUGGCUAAUAUCUGGCUGUAUUGACAUUAGCUACAGAAGAAGCACCGGCUAACUCCGUGCCAGCAGCCGCGGUAAUACGGAGGGUGCAAGCGUUAAUCGGAAUUACUGGGCGUAAAGCGUGCGUAGGCGGCUUAGUAAGUCGGUUGUGAAAGCCCCGGGCUUAACCUGGGAAUUGCAUCCGAUACUGCUAAGCUAGAGUGUGGCAGAGGAUAGUGGAAUUUCCGGUGUAGCGGUGAAAUGCGUAGAUAUCGGAAGGAACACCAGUGGCGAAGGCGACUGUCUGGGCCAACACUGACGCUGAGGUACGAAAGCGUGGGUAGCAAACAGGAUUAGAAACCCGAGUAGUCC
rnacentral:rRNA from 1 species